rnacentral:rRNA from 1 species
AGAGUUUGAUCAUGGCUCAGAUUGAACGCUGGCGGCAGGCCUAACACAUGCAAGUCGAACGGUAACAGGAAGCAGCUUGCUGCUUCGCUGACGAGUGGCGGACGGGUGAGUAAUGUCUGGGAAACUGCCUGAUGGAGGGGGAUAACUACUGGAAACGGUAGCUAAUACCGCAUAAUGUCGCAAGACCAAAGAGGGGGACCUUAGGGCCUCUUGCCAUCGGAUGUGCCCAGAUGGGAUUAGCUUGUUGGUGGGGUAACGGCUCACCAAGGCGACGAUCCCUAGCUGGUCUGAGAGGAUGACCAGCCACACUGGAACUGAGACACGGUCCAGACUCCUACGGGAGGCAGCAGUGGGGAAUAUUGCACAAUGGGCGCAAGCCUGAUGCAGCCAUGCCGCGUGUAUGAAGAAGGCCUUCGGGUUGUAAAGUACUUUCAGCGGGGAGGAAGGGAGUAAAGUUAAUACCUUUGCUCAUUGACGUUAUCCGCAGAAGAAGCACCGGCUAACUCCGUGCCAGCAGCCGCGGUAAUACGGAGGGUGCAAGCGUUAAUCGGAAUUACUGGGCGUAAAGCGCACGCAGGCGGUUUGUUAAGUCAGAUGUGAAAUCCCCGGGCUCAACCUGGGAACUGCAUCUGAUACUGGCAAGCUUGAGUCUCGUAGAGGGGGGUAGAAUUCCAGGUGUAGCGGUGAAAUGCGUAGAGAUCUGGAGGAAUACCGGUGGCGAAGGCGGCCCCCUGGACGAAGACUGACGCUCAGGUGCGAAAGCGUGGGGAGCAAACAGGAUUAGAUACCCUGGUAGUCCACGCCGUAAACGAUGUCGACUUGGAGGUUGUGCCCUUGAGGCGUGGCUUCCGGAGCUAACGCGUUAAGUCGACCGCCUGGGGAGUACGGCCGCAAGGUUAAAACUCAAAUGAAUUGACGGGGGCCCGCACAAGCGGUGGAGCAUGUGGUUUAAUUCGAUGCAACGCGAAGAACCUUACCUGGUCUUGACAUCCACGGAAGUUUUCAGAGAUGAGAAUGUGCCUUCGGGAACCGUGAGACAGGUGCUGCAUGGCUGUCGUCAGCUCGUGUUGUGAAAUGUUGGGUUAAGUCCCGCAACGAGCGCAACCCUUAUCCUUUGUUGCCAGCGGUCCGGCCGGGAACUCAAAGGAGACUGCCAGUGAUAAACUGGAGGAAGGUGGGGAUGACGUCAAGUCAUCAUGGCCCUUACGACCAGGGCUACACACGUGCUACAAUGGCGCAUACAAAGAGAAGCGACCUCGCGAGAGCAAGCGGACCUCAUAAAGUGCGUCGUAGUCCGGAUUGGAGUCUGCAACUCGACUCCAUGAAGUCGGAAUCGCUAGUAAUCGUGGAUCAGAAUGCCACGGUGAAUACGUUCCCGGGCCUUGUACACACCGCCCGUCACACCAUGGGAGUGGGUUGCAAAAGAAGUAGGUAGCUUAACCUUCGGGAGGGCGCUUACCACUUUGUGAUUCAUGACUGGGGUGAAGUCGUAACAAGGUAACCGUAGGGGAACCUGCGGUUG